CGGAGGAUCCAAGCGUUAUCCGGAAUCAUUGGGUUUAAAGGGUCCGUAGGCGGUUUAUUAAGUCAGUGGUGAAAUCUGGUCGCUCAACGAUCAAACGGCCAUUGAUACUGAUAGACUUGAAUUAUUGGGAAGUAACUAGAAUAUGUAGUGUAGCGGUGAAAUGCUUAGAUAUUACAUGGAAUACCAAUUGCGAAGGCAGGUUACUACCAGUGGAUUGACGCUGAUGGACGAAAGCGUGGGGAGCGAACAGGAUUAGAUACCCUGGUAGUCCACGCCGUAAACGAUGGAUACUAGCUGUUCGGAGCAAUCUGAGUGGCUAAGCGAAAGUGAUAAGUAUCCCACCUGGGGAGUACGUUCGCAAGAAUG
rnacentral:rRNA from 1 species